GCGGCGUGCCUAAUACAUGCAAGUCGAACGCUUUUAUCUCACCGGGUGCUUGCACCCACCGAGAUAAAGGAGUGGCGGACGGGUGAGUAACACGUGGGUAACCUGCCCAUAAGUGGGGGAUAACAUUCGGAAACGGAUGCUAAUACCGCAUAUCUUUAUUGGCCUCAUGGCCAAGUGAUGAAAGGCGGCUUCGGCUGUCGCUUAUGGAUGGACCCGCGGCGCAUUAGUUAGUUGGUGAGGUAACGGCUCACCAAGACGAUGAUGCGUAGCCGACCUGAGAGGGUGAUCGGCCACACUGGGACUGAGACACGGCCCAGACUCCUACGGGAGGCAGCAGUAGGGAAUCUUCCGCAAUGGACGAAAGUCUGACGGAGCAACGCCGCGUGAGUGAAGAAGGUUUUCGGAUCGUAAAACUCUGUUGUUAGAGAAGAACAAGGAUGAGAGUAACUGCUCGUCCCUUGACGGUAUCUAACCAGAAAGCCAUGGCUAACUACGUGCCAGCAGCCGCGGUAAUACGUAGAUGGCAAGCGUUGUCCGGAUUUAUUGGGCGUAAAGCGAGUGCAGGCGGUUCUUUAAGUCUGAUGUGAAAGCCCCUGGCUUAACCAGGGAGGGUCAUUGGAAACUGGAGGACUUGAGUGCAGAAGAGGAAAGUGGAAUUCCAUGUGUAGCGGUGAAAUGCGUAGAUAUAUGGAGGAACACCAGUGGCGAAGGCGACUUUCUGGUCUGUAACUGACGCUGAGACUCGAAAGCAUGGGGAGCAAACAGGAUUAGAUACCCUGGUAGUCCAUGCCGUAAACGAUGAGUGCUAAAUGUUGGAGGGUUUCCCCCCCUCAGUGCUGCAGCUAACCCAUUAAGCACUCCGCCUGGGGGAGUACGGCCGCCAGGGUUGAAAUUCAAAGGAAUUGACCGGGGGCCCCGCACAAGCGGUGGAGCAUGUGGUUUAAUUCGAAGCAACGCGAAGAACCUUACCAGGUCUUGACAUCCUUUGACCACUCUAGAGAUAGAGCUUUCCCUUCGGGGACAAAGUGACAGGUGGUGCAUGGUUGUCGUCAGCUCGUGUCGUGAGAUGUUGGGUUAAGUCCCGCAACGAGCGCAACCCUUAUUAUUAGUUGCCAGCAUUCAGUUGGGCACUCUAGUGAGACUGCCGGUGACAAACCGGAGGAAGGUGGGGAUGACGUCAAAUCAUCAUGCCCCUUAUGACCUGGGCUACACACGUGCUACAAUGGAUGGUACAACGGGUUGCGAAACAGUGAUGUUUAGCUAAUCUCUUAAAGCCAUUCUCAGUUCGGAUUGUAGGCUGCAAUUCGCCUACAUGAAGCCGGAAUCGCUAGUAAUCGCGGAUCAGCACGCCGCGGUGAAUACGUUCCCGGGCCUUGUACACACCGCCCGUCACACCACGAGAGUCUGUAACACCCAAAGUCGGUGAGGUAACCUUCGGGAGCCAGCCGCCUAAGGUGGGAUGGAUAAUUGGGGUGAAGU
rnacentral:rRNA from 1 species